rnacentral:rRNA from 1 species
UACGGGGGGGGCAAGCGUUGUUCGGAUUUACUGGGCGUAAAGGGCUCGUAGGUGGCCAACUAAGUCAGACGUGAAAUCCCCAGGCUCAACUUGGGAACUGCGUCUGAUACUGGAUGGCUUGAAUUCGGGAGAGGGAUGCAGAAUUCCAGGUGUAGCGGUGAAAUGCGUAGAUAUCUGGAGGAAUACCGGUGGCGAAGGCGGCAUCCUGGACCGAGAUUGACACUGAUGAGCGAAAGCUAGGGGAGCAAACGGG